rnacentral:rRNA from 1 species
UGGGGAAUUUUGGACAAUGGGCGCAAGCCUGAUCCAGCCAUGCCGCGUGAGUGAAGAAGGCCUUCGGGUUGUAAAGCUCUUUCGGACGGGAAGAAACGGCGGGCUCUAACAUAGCCUGUCGAUGACGGUACCGUAAGAAGAAGCACCGGCUAACUACGUGCCAGCAGCCGCGGUAAUACGUAGGGUGCGAGCGUUAAUCGGAAUUACUGAGCGUAAAGCGUGCGCAGGCGGUUUUGUAAGACAGAUGUGAAAUCCCCGGGCUUAACCUGGGAACUGCGUUUGUGACUGCAAGGCUGGAGUACGGCAGAGGGGGGUGGAAUUCCACGUGUAGCAGUGAAAUGCGUAGAGAUGUGGAGGAACACCGAUGGCGAAGGCAGCCCCCUGGGCCUGUACUGACGCUCAUGCACGAAAGCGUGGGGAGCAAACA